CAUGGAGGGUGAGAAUCCCGUUCGGUUGACCUUAUGACGCUCUACGAUACGCUCUCUAAGAGUCGAGUUGUUUGGGAUUGCAGCUCAAAAUGGGAGGUAAAUUUCUCCUAAGGCUAAGUAUCGGCGAGAGACCGAUAGCGAACAAGUACCGUGAGGGAAAGAUGAAAAGAACUUUGAAAAGAGGGUAAAAUAGUACGUGAAAUUGUUGAAAGGGAAACGAUUGAAGUCAGUCGUACCGACGAGAAAUCAACUUAUCGUGUGCGAACUUGUGGGCGUGCGUGAGUUUCGGCCUCGCUGUUUGCAUGUUUGUGCGUUUUGGGUGUACUUUUUCGUAUGGUAGGCCAACGUCAGUUUCGAUUAUCAUAAAAUGACCGGCGGAAUGUAGCUUCGAUUUCGGUUGAAGUGUUAUAGCCUCUGGUAGAUGUGGUGAUUGAGACUGAGGAUUGCAACGAAUACCCUUUGGGCUAUCCGUCUGGCCUCUGAAAGUUGCUCAGGUGCCGAAAGCGUGCUUACGGUUAUCUAAGAUAACGUUCAACAGGUUAGAACGUGAUUACAUUCGUUAAGGAUGUUGACGUA
rnacentral:rRNA from 1 species